CCCUUAGAUGUUCUGGGCCGCACGCGUGCUACACUGAUGCAUUCAACGAGUCUAAAACCUGGUCUGAUAGGGCUGGGUAAUCUUUUGAAAGUGCAUCGUGAUUGGGAUAGAUGAUUGCAAUUCUUCAUCUUCAACGAGGAAUGCCUAGUAAACGCAAGUCAUCAGCUUGCAUUGAUUACGUCCCUGCCCUUUGUACACACCGCCCGUCGCUCCUACCGAUUGAAUGAUCCGAUGAAUACCAUGGAUUGAGAGUACGAAUAGGUUCGCUUAUUUCUGCUGCUCGAGAAGUGGAGUAAAUCGUAUCAUUUAGAGGAAGGAGAAGUCGUAACA
rnacentral:rRNA from 1 species